rnacentral:rRNA from 1 species
GACGAACGCUGGCGGCGUGCUUAACACAUGCAAGUCGAACGGAAAGGCCCUGCUUUUCUGGGGUGCUCGAGUGGCGAACGGGUGAGUAACACGUGAGUAACCUGCCCCUGACUUUGGGAUAACUUCAGGAAACUGGGGCUAAUACCGGAUAGGAGCUCCUGCUGCAUGGUGGGGGUUGGAAAGUUUCGGCGGUUGGGGAUGGACUCGCGGCUUAUCAGCUUGUUGGUGGGGUAGUGGCUUACCAAGGCUUUGACGGGUAGCCGGCCUGAGAGGGUGACCGGCCACAUUGGGACUGAGAUACGGCCCAGACUCCUACGGGAGGCAGCAGUGGGGAAUAUUGCACAAUGGGCGGAAGCCUGAUGCAGCAACGCCGCGUGCGGGAUGACGGCCUUCGGGUUGUAAACCGCUUUCGCCUGUGACGAAGCGUGAGUGACGGUAAUGGGUAAAGAAGCACCGGCUAACUACGUG